GCACGCCAGGAAAUUUUAAGAGAAAACAAAGUAGCUGAAAAAUCCACGGAAUGAGAGGGCAGAAAAAGCAGUCUGCUUAAGGACAAAUAGAAGCCUGAAGUGGAAGUCUCCUAUGAAGCUAUGGAGGGCUCCACGUGCAACAGAACUAGGACAGUACCAACCACUCCGGGGGUUGCUGCUUCUCAAGACACUUGGUGAUGAAAGUCCUUUACACAUUGCAACAGGAGACGUGAGACAACAUAGUCAGCCACUGACACACAGGAAAAAAUGGUGUUACAACUACUCCUGCACUGUCAGAGCACCAAGAACGAGAGCAAUACGUGUAGAAAGCCUUAUUGCAAGUAACUAAGGAGACACCAAAGAAGAAGAUAUUUCCCCCUCUAACUUGUCAGAUAUGUGUAUAGGCAAUGGGUGAAGUCAAUGGUAGCAUGAUCUGUGGCAGUAGAAAUGUUUCCUUUAGGCAUGUUUCAUAGUCCCACAAUGUGGUGCAAUUUUCCCCCAUUCAAAGAAACGUACUGAAAGGGGCUGUAAACAGCAUUAGACUAAUGAGAGCUUAUAAAAGCCCAACCUAGUAAACAAUCUCCCUUUUAAAUCAAUAGACUGCCAUCAUAGCGUUCCACCAUAAAGAACUGACAUGGCUUUGACAAAAUAAGAUUGUUAUUUAUGAAACAAUGUUACACUGUGGUUGGGAAUAGUUCUGGAUUUUCAGUCUGUGUAAUCUACUUCAUUUGGUCAACCAGUGCUCAAACACUUACCAAAACACUGUUUAAAAACCUGCAGCUAACAUUGUUAAAUGACUAUUUGGUUACCACAUUCUUUGCAAAACCCAAUAACUUAAUAACAUGGAAAUGAAUAGAUAAGGACAUAAAUCUUGUACUACUUGGUUAAUACUGUGUAUGAUUAAUUUGUUUAUUAAGAAAUGAAUAUUUCAUCAUAACACAACUAUCUUAAUGCUGAUCCAUGAAUUGUUGUGGGGAUUUGUUUAUAUAUUGAUUUUUAACUUGGUAUCUAAAUAUUUUCUCUGAAGGAGUACUGCUAAAUGAGAAUUAUUAGGUAAAAUAUUUAUCCAUCAACAUCAGUCUUUUGGGCAAGCAUUUACAAUUGAUGUUUCUUGGGAAUAAGGUUGUACAUAUAAUUUAACUGAAAAGUGUAUAAACUUAUUGUAAAAUUA